rnacentral:rRNA from 1 species
UUCCGGUUGAUCCCGCCGGACCUGACUGCUAUCGGAUUGAUACUAAGCCAUGCGAGUCUUUGUAGUAAUACAAGGCAGACGGCUCAGUAACGCGUAGUCAACCUACCCUAUGGACGGGAAUAAUCUCGGGAAACUGAGCAUAAUACCCGGCGUACCACCAUUCCUGGAAUGGUUGGUGGUUAAAAUGAUUCGUCGCCGUAGGAUGGGACUGCGACCUAUCAGCUUGUUGGUGAGGUAAAGGCCCACCAAGGCGAUUACAGGUACGGGCUCUGAGAGGAGAAGCCCGGAGAUGGGUACUGAGACACGGACCCAGGCCCUAUGGGGCGCAGCAGGCGAGAAAACUUUGCAAUGUGCGAAAGCACGACAAGGUUAAUCCGAGUGAUUUCUGCUAAAGGAAUCUUUUGCCAGUUCUAAAAAUACUAGUGAAUAAGGGGUGGGCAAGUUCUGGUGUCAGCCGCCGCGGUAAAACCAGCACCUCAAGUGGUCAGGAGGAUUAUUGGGCCUAAAGCAUCCGUAGCCUGCUCUGUAAGUUUUCGGUUAAAUCUAUAUGCUCAACGUAUAGGCUGCCGAAAAUACUGCAGUGCUAGGAAGUGGGAGAGGUAGACGGUACUUGAUAGGAAGGGGUAAAAUCCUUUGAUCUAUCGAUGACCACCUGUGGCGAAGGCGGUCUACCAGAACACGUUCGACGGUGAGGGAUGAAAGCUGGGGGAGCAAACCGGAUUAGAUACCCGGGUAGUCCCAGCUGUAAACGAUGCAGACUCGAUGAUGCAUUGGCAUCUAGCCAGUGCAGUGUCGCAGGGAAGCCGUUAAGUCUGCCGCCUGGGAAGUACGUACGCAAGUAUGAAACUUAAAGGAAUUGGCGGGGGAGCACCACAAGGGGUGAAGCCUGCGGUUCAAUUGGAUUCAACGCCGGG